AUUGAACGCUGGCGGAAUGCUUUACACAUGCAAGUCGAACGGCAGCACGGACGUCGGUCUGGUGGCGAGUGGCGAACGGGUGAGUAAUGUAUCGGAACGUGCCCAGUCGUGGGGAUAACGUAGUGAAAAUUACGCUAAUACCGCAUACGAUCUAUGGAUGAAAGCGGGGGAUCGCAAGACCUCGCGCGAUUGGAGCGGCCGAUAUCAGAUUAGGUAGUUGGUGGGGUAAAGGCCCACCAAGCCAACGAUCUGUAGCUGGUCUGAGAGGACGACCAGCCACACUGGAACUGAGAAACGGUCCAGACUCCUACGGGAGGCAGCAGUGAGGAAUUUGGGACAAUGGGCGAAAGCCUGAUCCAGCCAUUCCGCGUGCAGGAUGAAGGCCCUCGGGUUGUAAACUGCUUUUGUACAGAACGAAAAGGUUUCUACUAAUACUAGGAGCUCAUGACGGUACUGUAAGAAUAAGCACCGGCUAACUACGUGCCAGCCGCCGCCGUAA
rnacentral:rRNA from 1 species